rnacentral:rRNA from 1 species
UACGUAGGGCGCAAGCGUUGUCCGGAAUUAUUGGGCGUAAAGAGCUCGUAGGCGGUCUGUCGCGUCUGCUGUGAAAUCCAGGGCUCAACCCUGGACCUGCAGUGGGUACGGGCAGACUAGAGUGCGGUAGGGGAGAUCGGAAUUCCUGGUGUAGCGGUGAAAUGCGCAGAUACUCGAGGAAGACACCCGUGGCGAAGGCGGCUCUCUGGGACGGUACUGACGCUGAGACGCGAAAGCGUGGGGAGCGAACAGG